rnacentral:rRNA from 1 species
UACGUAGGGGGCGAGCGUUGUCCGGAUUUAUUGGGCGUAAAGAGCGUGUAGGCGGCCAGGUAGGUCUGCUGUGAAAACUCGAGGCUCAACCUCGAGACGUCGGCGGAAACCAUCUGGCUAGAGUCCGGAAGAGGAGAGUGGAAUUCCUGGUGUAGCGGUGAAAUGCGCAGAUAUCAGGAAGAACACCCGUGGCGAAGGCGGUUCUCUGGGACGGUACUGACGCUGAGACGCGAAAGCGUGGGGAGCGAACAGG